AGGAUAAACGCUGGCGGCGUGCAUGAGACAUGCAAGUCGAACGGACGAUCGGGGCUUGCUCUGAUCGUUAGUGGCGGACGGCUGAGUAACGCGUAGGUGACCUGCCCCGAAGUGGGGGAUAACUGCCCGAAAGGGUGGCUAAUACCGCAUGCGGUGGUUCGUUCAAUCGAUCCAUCAAAGCAGCAAUGCGCUUCGGGAGGGGCCUGCGUCCGAUUAGCUCGUUGGUGGGGUAACGGCUCACCAAGGCGACGAUCGGUAGGUGGUCUGAGAGGACGAUCACCCAGACUGGGACUGAGACACGGCCCAGACUCCUACGGGAGGCAGCAGUCGGGAAUUUUUGCGCAAUGGGCGGAAGCCUGACGCAGCAACGCCGCGUGAGGGAUGAAGGCCUUCGGUUGUAAACCGUCUUUUUAUCUAGGACGAUAAAUGAGGUACCUUGACGAAUAAGUCACGGCUAACUACGUAGCCAACAGCCGC
rnacentral:rRNA from 1 species